CCCCGCUCGCCCCACUUCCCCUCCCCACACCCCGCUCCUCCCUCUGCCCCCCGAUUGGAUCGGGGGGAUCGACCCCAUCGAUCGAUCGCCGUCGCCGCCCGGAUCGGUCGCCGCCCCGUCGUCCUCGACUCCACCUCGCCGGACCGCCUCCUCAUCUCCGGCAACGCACGCGUCCCCGUCCUCCUCCUCGACAACCGCUGCCAUUGCCCUACGCGCCGUCACCCCGAGACUGCCGGGGACCCCAGUUCGACUACGGUGUUGACGACUCAUCCUUCUUGCCAGAACAACCAGACGUUGGAGCCCAGGAGCCAGACGCCACUGUCGAUGAUGACUACUACACUUGAGGUGCCUACUACUACGUGCAGGCUGCUGAUGACGACCAGGAGUAGUUAGGAGGAUCCCAGGUAGGAGGCCUGUGCCUCUUUCGAUCUGUAUCCCAGUUUGUGCUAGCCAUCUUAUGGCAACUUGUUUAACUUAUGUCUGUACUCAGAUAUUGUUGCUUCCGCUGACUUGUCUAUGAUCGAGCACUUGUAUUCGAGUCCUCGAGGCCCUUGGCUUGUAAUAUGAUGCUUGUAUGACUUAUUUAUGUUUUUAGAGUUGUGUUGUGAUAUAUUCCCGUGAGUCC
rnacentral:rRNA from 1 species